UACGGGGGGGGCAAGCGUUGUUCGGAAUUACUGGGCGUAAAGCGCGCGUAGGCGGCCCUUCAAGUCGGGCGUGAAAGCUCCGGGCUUAACCUGGGAACUGCAUUCGAGACUGCAUUGCUAGAGUAUGGGAGAGGGAAGUGGAAUUUCCGGUGUAGCGGUGAAAUGCGUAGAUAUCGGAAGGAACAUCAGUGGCGAAAGCGACUUCCUGGACCAAUACUGACGCUCAUGUGCGAAAGCGUGGGGAGCAAACAGG
rnacentral:rRNA from 1 species